rnacentral:lncRNA from 10 species
CCUCAGUGCCUGACAAAUUGUAGACACUUAGAAUAUGUCUCUCAACUAAUCCUGAUAGGUUUCUCACAGUAAUCUCAAGGCGAUCCAGGCAAAACACAAGCUUUCUUUAAGCCUUUGACGAAGACCACUCAAGCAAAAUGGGUGUUUUAAUUAGCACAUUGUGCUGAACAGUUCAUGUUUGCACACAAGUGAAAAGGGAUUUACACAGAAGAAAGGAGGAAAUCUCCUGCACAGAUGUAGUUUGGUCUGACAUUUGCAGGAAGGAGAGGAGGCACAGAAGCAAAUGUUGCCCUUCACCAUUCCCUGAGCCAUCUAUGCCAAAUGGCCUAGAGCACGCAAGACAGAAAAUCUAAGACAACCAAACAAACCAUUUUCCUUCAGAAAGGGAAGUGGAUCCAAAUAGUGUCUUCUGCCCUCUAAUGACCUACCUGCCCCAUGAGCCUCACUCUUCAUUGCCUAGGCCAGCCACCAUUUUGUGAGCUAUCCUAUGAAGAAACCCAUAUGGCAAGAAACUAAGAGCAGCUUCUGGAUAAUAACCAAUGAGGAAGUGAGGCACUCAGUCCAAUAGCUCAUAAGUAACUGAAUCCUGCCAGCAACUACAGCCCCAGCCAAUACCUUGAUUGCAGCCUUGAAAGAAACCCAGAGAAAGAAUGGACCCAACUAGACCAUGCUGUACUUCUGACCCACAGAAACUGUUUUCUAGCCAUGAAGAAAUAAAGAUAGUAGCAAUAUUUGUGGUAGCCAGAAUGGUACUCCAAAGAAGUCCAUGGCCAACUCCUGGAAUUGGAAUAUGUAAGUUUACAGAUAUAAUUAAGGUUACUAACCUUAAAAUAGAGAGAUUUUCCUGUAUUAUCUGGACGGCCAAAUCUAAUCACAGGAGUCCUUAAAAGCAGAGAAUGCCCUCCAGCUGGAGGCAAGAGGAAGGUGGAAUAAGAAGUCACAGAGGUUCGAAUCAGGAGAGAGACUCAACCUGCCAUGUUUAGAACUCCUUGGAAAGCAUGAAAAGAAUGCAGGUGGCUUCUAGGAGCAAAUACCAGUCCUUGGCUGACAACCAGUAAGGUAACAAAGACCUGAGUUCUACAACUGCAAGAAACUGAAUUCAAGAAUUAAACUGAAUGAGCUUGGAAGCAGAUUUCUCCUCAGAGGUGCCAAUAAGGAAUACUGCUCUGCCAACACCUGGAGUUAGGCUUUGUUAAACUUUAGCAAAAGAUCCAGUCAUGCCCACUCAGGCAUCUGACCAACAGAAAUUGUGGUACAAUAAAUUUGUGUUGUCUUAAUCUACUAAAUUUGUGGUAAAUUGUUACGGCAGCAAAGAA